rnacentral:lncRNA from 1 species
GGGCUGCUAGAUACAUGGUAAAUCAACGACACGAUUAAUUUAAACUAUAACAUAAUAUAAAUGAUGAGUUUAAAGUAAAAAUUAAUUUGGGAUUUGCCCAUUUGCCAACCUAAACUUUUUUUUUAAGUUUAAAACAAAAUCUUACAAGAUCAAUAUAUUAUUAACUUAGUAUACUAUUUAUAGGAGAUUAACAUAGUAUAUUGUUAAGAUGAACAAUUAUAUUUUU